rnacentral:pre_miRNA from 16 species
AAGUCACGAUGAUGAUGAUGAUGAUGAUGAUGAUGAUGACAUUUAAUUAAUUUUUUUUUUUAUUCAUCAUCAUCAUCAUCAUCAUUAUUAUUUUCG